rnacentral:rRNA from 1 species
GACGAACGCUGGCGGCGUGCUUAACACAUGCAAGUCGAACGGAAAGGCCCUGCUUUUGUGGGGUGCUCGAGUGGCGAACGGGUGAGUAACACGUGAGUAACCUGCCCUUGACUUUGGGAUAACUUCAGGAAACUGGGGCUAAUACCGGAUAGGAGCGCCUGCUGCAUGGUGGGGGUUGGAAAGUUUCGGCGGUUGGGGAUGGACUCGCGGCUUAUCAGCUUGUGGGUGGGGUAGUGGCUUACAAAGGCUUUGGCGGGUAGCGGGCCUGAGGGGGGGCCCGGCCACAUGGGGGGUGAGACACGCCCCACACCCGCCCGGGGGGGAGAGGGGGGGAAUUUUGCACAAGGGGCGAGAGCGUCUGACGGAACCCCGGCGCGGGGGGGGAGGGCCUUUGGGUGGAACCCCGUUUUGGCCUGUGAGAAGGCGUAAUGGCCGGAACUGGGGAAGAAGGCACGGCCAACUUCGUU